UCUCCGUAGGUGAACCUGCGGAGGGAUCAUUACAGAGUUCUCGCCCUCGCGGGUAGAUCUCCCACCCACUGUUAUCGUUACUGUCGUUUCUUUGGCGGGCCGCCGGGUCCCCGGCCGCCGGCGUCUAAUAGGCGGCGCGCGCCCGCCAGAGGCAUUAGAACCCUGAAUGUUAGUGUCGUCUGAGUACUAUAUAAUAGUUAAAACUUUCAACAACGGAUCUCUUGGUUCUG
rnacentral:misc_RNA from 1 species